AUCACUAACGCCUCCCUACAGAGCUAACAGGUUCUGUCCCAAACUAUCACUAACGCCUCCCUACAGAGCUAACAGGUUCUGUCCCAAACUAUCACUAACGCCUCCCUACAGAGCUAACAGGUUCUGUCCCAAACUAUCACUAACGCCUCCCUACAGAGCUAACAGGUUCUGUCCCAAACUAUCACUAACGCCUCCCUACAGAGCUAACAGGUUCUGUCCCAAACUAUCACUAACGCCUCCCUACAGAGCUAACAGGUUCUGUCCCAAACUAUCACUAACGCCUCCCUACAGAGCUAACAGGUUCUGUCCCAAACUAUCACUAACGCCUCCCUACAGAGCUAACAGGUUCUGUCCCAAACUAUCACUAACGCCUCCCUACAGAGCUAACAGGUUCUGUCCCAAACUAUCACUAACGCCUCCCUACAGAGCUAACAGGUUCUGUCCCAAACUAUCACUAACGCCUCCCUACAGAGCUAACAGGUUCUGUCCCAAACUAUCACUAACGCCUCCCUACAGAGCUAACAGGUUCUGUCCCAAACUAUCACUAACGCCUCCCUACAGAGCUAACAGGUUCUGUCCCAAACUAUCACUAACGCCUCCCUACAGAGCUAACAGGUUCUGUCCCAAACUAUCACUAACGCCUCCCUACAGAGCUAACAGGUUCUGUCCCAAACUAUCACUAACGCCUCCCUACAGAGCUAACAGGUUCUGUCCCAAACUAUCACUAACGCCUCCCUACAGAGCUAACAGGUUCUG